GUUGUCUUGCUGAGAUGGUACCCAGGGUUCCCCCGUCCUCUGAUGAAAAUAUUUUUUGUUCUCUGAUGAUAGAGUGAUUUAGUUCAACAAUUUACCUGAUGUUCUAACAGCCGUUCCAUCAUCUGACGUUUCUUCCCUGGACCAGGAGAAGGUGGAAAUGUUAGACCAACCCUUGGUGGAAAAAACUGACCCUUGAUGACAGUCUGGCUGCUGAUCUAAUAUAUUAUCUUCUACUCAGAGGGCUCUGAGUGAACCAGUUUACAGCAGGACUGGCUCCAGAGAGAGGUGACGCUAAGAUGAUGAUGAAGUGGUGUCCACGGCUGAGCUGGGCUUGUCACCUUAAUCAGCUGGAACGUCUCUCAGCUCAGCUGAGCUCCUUACAAGGAGCUGUGGGGUGUGGUCUGAGAUCUGGAGAGACUUGGAACAGGCCAACCAUGUCAUGAUCUGACCAGGUUGCCUCAGCUUUGAGACACCAACGGGAAGCAACACACAACUGGUGUGAGUCACUUGUGCCCCUAAUAGCUGAGGGCCUUGGCUUCUAGCCACUGCUCUCUCCCCUAAGACCAAGAGGAGCUGCGUACCCCAAGCCAAUGUCAGAGGGCGCCAUCGGCCAGGCGAGCUGGGCGCAGUCAGGCUGCGGCUUGACCUGUCACAGCUGCUCCACUGGGCCCAUCCGGAGCUUCCAGGGUGUCCAGAGGGAUUUCUCCCUGAAUCAUCCCCAACUUCACUCUCUCUGCUGGUGCUCAUCCGCACUCAUCCGCAACAGUGACUUCACUUCCUACCUACAUUACAUGUCAUACUGUCUUCCAGAGCUGCAAAGUAAAUAACCAUUUUACUGAAAUAAAAAUCGAGCCACAGUCAGAGGUGCCCAUCCCUCCCCUCACCACUCCUUUCUGAUUGUGACCUGGGUAAGUUGGCAGCCUCACUUAACCUCAGUUUCCUCGUCAGUCGCUCAGGGAGAGAAGCAGGACACUCUCACUAAGCAGUGAGGAAAAAGUGAGAUCACAUUUGCAAAGCACUUGGUACCCAGAAGAUGCUCAACAAAUAUCAUUUCUCUUCAUUGAUUGGGGAAGGCUUCAGUUACUUUUAAAAUCUCCAUGAACCCCCAGAGAGAAGCUCUUCUGACUAGAGAACCCCAAAUCUCUCCCUUUACAGAAAUUCUGAUUUCCUUUCCUUCACUAUUUGUUUUUUCUUUAUUCACCUUGGUGCUUUUUCUUCUUGGUGGACUUGAAAUACAUUACUAUAAAUAUCAUAUUUUAAAAUACUAAAUAUGCACAU